GGGUUGUGAGGUUAAGCGACUAAGCGUACACGGUGGAUGCCCUGGCAGUCAGAGGCGAUGAAGGACGUGCUAAUCUGCGAUAAGCGUCGGUAAGGUGAUAUGAACCGUUAUAACCGGCGAUUUCCGAAUGGGGAAACCCAGUGUGAUUCGUCACACUAUCAUUAACUGAAUCCAUAGGUUAAUGAGGCGAACCGGGGGAACUGAAACAUCUAAGUACCCCGAGGAAAAGAAAUCAACCGAGAUUCCCCCAGUAGCGGCGAGCGAACGGGGAGCAGCCCAGAGCCUGAAUCAGUGUGUGUGUUAGUGGAAGCGUCUGGAAAGGCGCGCGAUACAGGGUGACAGCCCCGUACACAAAAAUGCACAUGCUGUGAGCUCGAUGAGUAGGGCGGGACACGUGGUAUCCUGUCUGAAUAUGGGGGGACCAUCCUCCAAGGCUAAAUACUCCUGACUGACCGAUAGUGAACCAGUACCGUGAGGGAAAGGCGAAAAGAACCCCGGCGAGGGGAGUGAAAAAGAACCUGAAACCGUGUACGUACAAGCAGUGGGAGCACGCUUAGGCGUGUGACUGCGUACCUUUUGUAUAAUGGGUCAGCGACUUAUAUUCUGUAGCAAGGUUAACCGAAUAGGGGAGCCGAAGGGAAACCGAGUCUUAACUGGGCGUUAAGUUGCAGGGUAUAGACCCGAAACCCGGUGAUCUAGCCAUGGGCAGGUUGAAGGUUGGGUAACACUAACUGGAGGACCGAACCGACUAAUGUUGAAAAAUUAGCGGAUGACUUGUGGCUGGGGGUGAAAGGCCAAUCAAACCGGGAGAUAGCUGGUUCUCCCCGAAAGCUAUUUAGGUAGCGCCUCGUGAAUUCAUCUCCGGGGGUAGAGCACUGUUUCGGCAAGGGGGUCAUCCCGACUUACCAACCCGAUGCAAACUGCGAAUACCGGAGAAUGUUAUCACGGGAGACACACGGCGGGUGCUAACGUCCGUCGUGAAGAGGGAAACAACCCAGACCGCCAGCUAAGGUCCCAAAGUCAUGGUUAAGUGGGAAACGAUGUGGGAAGGCCCAGACAGCCAGGAUGUUGGCUUAGAAGCAGCCAUCAUUUAAAGAAAGCGUAAUAGCUCACUGGUCGAGUCGGCCUGCGCGGAAGAUGUAACGGGGCUAAACCAUGCACCGAAGCUGCGGCAGCGACGCUGAUGCGUUGUUGGGUAGGGGAGCGUUCUGUAAGCCUGUGAAGGUGUGCUGUGAGGCAUGCUGGAGGUAUCAGAAGUGCGAAUGCUGACAUAAGUAACGAUAAAGCGGGUGAAAAGCCCGCUCGCCGGAAGACCAAGGGUUCCUGUCCAACGUUAAUCGGGGCAGGGUGAGUCGACCCCUAAGGCGAGGCCGAAAGGCGUAGUCGAUGGGAAACAGGUUAAUAUUCCUGUACUUGGUGUUACUGCGAAGGGGGGACGGAGAAGGCUAUGUUGGCCGGGCGACGGUUGUCCCGGUUUAAGCGUGUAGGCUGGUUUUCCAGGCAAAUCCGGAAAAUCAAGGCUGAGGCGUGAUGACGAGGCACUACGGUGCUGAAGCAACAAAUGCCCUGCUUCCAGGAAAAGCCUCUAAGCAUCAGGUAACAUCAAAUCGUACCCCAAACCGACACAGGUGGUCAGGUAGAGAAUACCAAGGCGCUUGAGAGAACUCGGGUGAAGGAACUAGGCAAAAUGGUGCCGUAACUUCGGGAGAAGGCACGCUGAUAUGUAGGUGAAGUCCCUCGCGGAUGGAGCUGAAAUCAGUCGAAGAUACCAGCUGGCUGCAACUGUUUAUUAAAAACACAGCACUGUGCAAACACGAAAGUGGACGUAUACGGUGUGACGCCUGCCCGGUGCCGGAAGGUUAAUUGAUGGGGUCAGCGCAAGCGAAGCUCUUGAUCGAAGCCCCGGUAAACGGCGGCCGUAACUAUAACGGUCCUAAGGUAGCGAAAUUCCUUGUCGGGUAAGUUCCGACCUGCACGAAUGGCGUAAUGAUGGCCAGGCUGUCUCCACCCGAGACUCAGUGAAAUUGAACUCGCUGUGAAGAUGCAGUGUACCCGCGGCAAGACGGAAAGACCCCGUGAACCUUUACUAUAGCUUGACACUGAACAUUGAGCCUUGAUGUGUAGGAUAGGUGGGAGGCUUUGAAGUGUGGACGCCAGUCUGCAUGGAGCCGGCCUUGAAAUACCACCCUUUAAUGUUUGAUGUUCUAACGUUGACCCGUAAUCCGGGUUGCGGACAGUGUCUGGUGGGUAGUUUGACUGGGGCGGUCUCCUCCUAAAGAGUAACGGAGGAGCACGAAGGUUGGCUAAUCCUGGUCGGACAUCAGGAGGUUAGUGCAAUGGCAUAAGCCAGCUUGACUGCGAGCGUGACGGCGCGAGCAGGUGCGAAAGCAGGUCAUAGUGAUCCGGUGGUUCUGAAUGGAAGGGCCAUCGCUCAACGGAUAAAAGGUACUCCGGGGAUAACAGGCUGAUACCGCCCAAGAGUUCAUAUCGACGGCGGUGUUUGGCACCUCGAUGUCGGCUCAUCACAUCCUGGGGCUGAAGUAGGUCCCAAGGGUAUGGCUGUUCGCCAUUUAAAGUGGUACGCGAGCUGGGUUUAGAACGUCGUGAGACAGUUCGGUCCCUAUCUGCCGUGGGCGCUGGAGAACUGAGGGGGGCUGCUCCUAGUACGAGAGGACCGGAGUGGACGCAUCACUGGUGUUCGGGUUGUCAUGCCAAUGGCACUGCCCGGUAGCUAAAUGCGGAAGAGAUAAGUGCUGAAAGCAUCUAAGCACGAAACUUGCCCCGAGAUGAGUUCUCCCUGACUCCUUGAGAGUCCUGAAGGAACGUUGAAGACGACGACGUUGAUAGGCCGGGUGUGUAAGCGCAGCGAUGCGUUGAGCUAACCGGUACUAAUGAACCGUGAGGCUUAACCUUACAACGCCGAAGCUGUU
rnacentral:rRNA from 1 species